rnacentral:lncRNA from 1 species
AACAGAUUGUACACCAGCAGUAUAAAACACACAACUACAAGUUACUUCAGAACAUAACAAAUUGUACACAAGCAGUAUAAAAACACACAACUACAAGUUACUUCAGAACAUAACAGAUUGUACAUAAGCAGAAUAAAACACACAACUACAAAUUACUUCAGAAAAUAACAGAUUGUACACCAGCAGUAUAAAACACACAACUACAAGUUACUUCAGAACAGAACAAAUUGUACAUAAGCAAUAAAAAAAACACACAACUACAGGUUACUUUAGAACAGAACAAAUUGUACAUAAGAAAUAUAAAGCACACAACAACAAAUUACUUCAGAACAUAACAGAUUGUACACCAGCAGUAUAAAACACACAACUACAAGUUACUUCAGAACAAAACAGAUUGUACAUAAGCAGUAUAAAACACAUAACUGCAAGUUACUUCAGAAUACAACAGAUUGUACACCUGCAGUAUAAAACACAACUGCAAGUUACUUCAGAAAAGAACAAAUUGCACAUAAGGGAUAUAAAACACAUAACUGCAUGUUACUUCAGAACAUAACAGAUUGUGCAUUAGCAGUAUAAAACACACAACCAUAUGUUACUUCAGAACAUAACAGAUUGUACACUACCAGAAUAAAACACACAACCACAAGUUACUUCAGAACAUAAUAGAUUGUACACUAGCAGUAUAAAAUACACAACCACAAGUUACUUCAGAACAUAACAGAUUGUACAUUAGCAGUAUUAAACACACAACCACAAGUUACUUCAGAACAUAACAGAUUGUACAUCAGCAGUAUAAAACACACAACUACAAGUUACUUCAGAACAUAACAGAUUGUACACAAGCAGUAUACACAUACAAAUACAAGUUACUUCAGAACAUAACAGAGUGUACAUUAGCAGUAUAAAACACACAACCACAAGUUACUUCAGAACAUAACAGAUUGUACAUUAGCAGUAUAAAACACACAACUACAUGUUACUUCAGAACAUAACAGAUUGUACAUUAGCAGUAUAAAAUACACAACCACAAGUUACUUCAGAACAUAACAGAUUGUACAUUAGCAGUAUAAAACACACAACUACAAGUAUCUUCAGAACAUAACAGAUUGUUCAUUAGCAGUAUAAAACACACAACCACAAGUUACUUCAGAGCAUAACAGAUUGUACAUUAGCAGUAUAACACACAUAACUACAAGUUACCUCAGAACAUAACAGAUUGUACAUCAGCAGUAUAAAAUAUACAACUGCAAGUUUCUUCAGAACAUAACAGAUUAUACACAAGCAGUAUAAAACACAUAACUACAAGUUUCUUCAGAACAUAACAGAUUGUACAUCAGCAGUAUAAAAUAUACAACUGCAAGUUACUUCAGAACAUAACAGAUUGUACAUUAGCAGUAUAAAACACAUAACUACAAGUUACCUCAGAACAUAACAGAUUGUACAUUAGCAGAAUAAAAC